ACGCAAUAUAAUAGCAUCCAUCAACAUGAGAUCAAUUACAACGGCGAACAGCCGCGCCGCACCGAAGCCGUCAUCGACCGGCCAGCUCCGGAGAGGCGUGCCACCAGUCUUCUAUUCUAGUUAACGAAGCAUUGCGCGCUCCACCAUGUAAUAAAGGAGAAUCGGGCAGAAAAAUAAGCAAAAUAGAGAAUACAAACGAUCCACCAAACGAAGAAGUAGAAAGAGCAUUCGUGCUUUAAAUGCAGCAAAGUAAAGAUAAGAAAAAAAUGAACUCCAACUUUCCGCUCAAUGCCUCAUUGCACAAAGUUUCGCUGUAUGCCAAAGAUUUAAAAAAAAAGCAUACGCCUGCACUAUCGCUUCAGCGGAAUGCAACACUU